rnacentral:rRNA from 1 species
GACGAACGCUGGCGGCGUGCUUAACACAUGCAAGUCGAACGGAAAGGCCCUGCUUUUGUGGGGUGCUCGAGUGGCGAACGGGUGAGUAACACGUGAGUAACCUGCCCUUGACUUUGGGAUAACUUCAGGAAACUGGGGCUAAUACCGGAUAGGAGCUCCUGCUGCAUGGUGGGGGUUAGAAAUUUUCGGCGGUUGGGGAUGGACUCGCGGCUUAUCAGCUUGUUGGUGGGGUAGUGGCUUACCAAGGCUUUGACGGGUAGCCGGCCUGAGAGGGUGACCGGCGACAUUGGGACUGAGAUACGGCCCAGACUCCUACGGGAGGCAGCAGUGGGGAAUAUUGCACAAUGGGCGGAAGCCUGAUGCAGCAACGCCGCGUGCGGGAUGACGGCCUUCGGGUUGUAAACCGCUUUCGCCUGUGACGAAGCGUGAGUGACGGUAAUGGGUAAAGAAGCACCGGCUAACUACGUG